AGAGUUUGAUCAUGGCUCAGGACGAACGCUGGCGGCGCGCUUAACACAUGCAAGUCGAGCGAGAACCCUCCUUCGGGAGGGGGAAAGCGGCGAACGGGUGAGUAACACGUGAGUAAUCCACCCUCGGCACCGGGAUAGCCCGGGGAAACUCGGAUUAAUACCGGAUGGCCCAGCAGCCCUGCGGGGCGGCUGGAAAAGGUAGCUUCGGCCUCUGGCCGAGGACGAGCUCGCGGCGGAUUAGCUUGUUGGUGGGGUAACGGCCUACCAAGGCGACGAUCCGUAGCUGGUCUGAGAGGACGAUCAGCCACACUGGGACUGAGACACGGCCCAGACUCCUACGGGAGGCAGCAGUGGGGAAUCUUGCGCAAUGGGCGAAAGCCUGACGCAGCGACGCCGCGUGAGGGAAGAAGGCUUUCGGGUUGUAAACCUCUUUCAGGAGGGACGAAGCCACUCGGGUGAAUAGCCCAGAGGGUGACGGUACCUCCAGAAGAAGCCCCGGCUAACUACGUGCCAGCAGCCGCGGUA
rnacentral:rRNA from 1 species